rnacentral:sRNA from 1 species
CUAAAAGUAGAGCUAGGUUGUAGAACUUGUAUUCCAUGAUCCCUAGCCUUUUAGCUGUAGAGAGAGGCAUAAGGAUAACAGAUGCUGCCAAAUCA